GUGUCAGCAGCCGCGGUAAUACAGAGGGUGCGAGCGUUGUCCGGAAUCACUGGGCGUAAAGGGCGCGUAGGCGGCCUGAUAAGUCGGGGGUGAAAUCCUGUGGCUUAACCACAGGGCUGCCUCCGAGACUGUCGGGCUCGAGCACAGUAGAGGCAGGUGGAAUUCCCGGUGUAGCGGUGGAAUGCGUAGAGAUCGGGAAGAACAUCGGUGGCGAAGGCGGCCUGCUGGGCUGUUGCUGACGCUGAGGCGCGACAGCGUGGGGAGCAAACAGGAUUAGAAACCCCCGUAGUCC
rnacentral:rRNA from 1 species